rnacentral:rRNA from 1 species
AGCGAACGUUAGCGGCGCGCCUAACACAUGCAAGUCGCACGAGAAAGGGAGCAAUCCCCGGUACAGUGGCGCACGGGUGAGUAACACGUAGAUGACCUUCCCUGGAGUGGUGGAUAACCUGCCGAAAGGCGGGCUAAUACAGCAUGGGACCACAUGGUUUUUGACCGAGUGGUGAAAAGCGGGCCUCUGUUCACAAGCUCGCGCUCUGGGAUGGGUCUGCGUCCCAUCAGCUAGUUGGUGAGGUAAUGGCUCACCAAGGCAUCGACGGGUAGCUGGUCUGAGAGGAUGACCAGCCACGACUGGAACUGAGACAACGGUCCAGACUCCUACGGGAGGCAGCAGUGGGGAAUCUUGCGCAAUGGGCGAAAGCCUGACGCAGCGACGCCGCGUGGGUGA